rnacentral:rRNA from 1 species
GACGAACGCUGGCGGCGUGCUUAACACAUGCAAGUCGAACGGAAAGGCCCUGCUUUUGUGGGGUGCUCGAGUGGCGAACGGGUGAGUAACACGUGAGUAACCUGCCCUUGACUUUGGGAUAACUUCAGGAAACUGGGGCUAAUACCGGAUAGGAGCUCCUGCUGCAUGGUGGGGGUUGGAAAGUUUCGGCGGUUGGGGAUGGACUCGCGGCUUAUCAGCUUGUUGGUGGGGUAGUGGCUUACCAAGGCUUUGACGGGUAGCCGGCCUGAGAGGGUGACCGGCCACAGUGGGACUGAGAUACGGCCCAGACUCCUACGGGAGGCAGCAGUGGGGAAUAUUGCACAAUGGGCGGAAGCCUGAUGCAGCAACGCCGCGUGCGGGAUUACGGCCUUCGGGUUGUAAACCGCUUUCGCCUGUGACGAAGCGUGAGUGACGGUAAUGGGUAAAGAAGCACCGGCUAACUACGUG